rnacentral:tRNA from 3 species
GCGGGUGUAGUUUAGUGGUAAAACCUCAGCCUUCCAAGCUGAUGACGGGAGUUCGAUUCUCCUCACCCGCUCCA